rnacentral:rRNA from 1 species
UAGCGUUGCUCGGAAUCACUGGGCGUAAAGCGCACGUAGGCGGCUUUUUAAGUCAGAGGUGAAAUCCUGGAGCUCAACUCCAGAACUGCCUUUGAUACUGGAGAGCUUGAGUCCGGGAGAGGUGAGUGGAAUUGCGAGUGUAGAGGUGAAAUUCGUAGAUAUUCGCAAGAACACCAGUGGCGAAGGCGGCUCACUGGCCCGGUACUGACGCUGAGGUGCGAAAGCGUGGGGAGCAAACAGG